UACGAAGGGGGCUAGCGUUGUUCGGAAUUACUGGGCGUAAAGCGUGCGCAGGCGGCUUCUCAAGUCAGGGGUGAAAGCCCAGAGCUCAACUCUGGAAUUGCCUUUGAGACUGAGUGGCUUGAGUACGAGAGAGGUGAGUGGAAUUCCCAGUGUAGAGGUGAAAUUCGUAGAUAUUGGGAAGAACACCGGUGGCGAAGGCG
rnacentral:rRNA from 1 species